rnacentral:rRNA from 1 species
CACAUGCAAGUCGAGCGAGGUAGCAAUACCUAGCGGCAGACGGGUGCGUAACAUGUGGGAAUCUGCCUUUUGGUUCGGAACAACACGGGGAAACCGGUGCUAAUACCGGAUACUCCAUCUUGGCGGCAUCGCCGAGCUGGGAAAAAAUUUUGAUGAAAGAUGGUCUCGCGGCCUAUCAGCUAGUUGGUGAGGUAAAGGCUCACCAAGGCGAUAAUCAAUAGCUGAUUUGAGAGGAUGAUCAGCCACACUGGGACUGAGAUACGGCCCAGACUCC